UACAGAGGGUGCAAGCGUUAUUCGGAAUUACUGGGCGUAAAGCGCACGUAGGUGGAUAAGUAAGUUGGAUGUGAAAUCCCCGGGCUCAACCUGGGAAUUGCAUUCAAAACUGCUUUUCUAGAGUAUAGUAGAGGGGAGUGGAAUUUCCGGUGUAGCGGUGAAAUGCGUAGAUAUCGGAAGGAACACCAGUGGCGAAGGCGACUCCCUGGACUAAUACUGACACUGAGGUGCGAAAGCGUGGGGAGCAAACAGG
rnacentral:rRNA from 1 species